rnacentral:lncRNA from 1 species
UGCCAUCGAAGCUCAUCUAUUGUUGAUGGGCUGAUGGUUGGCAAUUUUGCCGCAGUGGUUCGUGUGGGAUUUUGUUUCUGCAGGCUCCUGGGGUUGUAUAUGCGCUGCUGUAAGCCAAUGAAUGAAUUGUGAGCUAUUCCAACAUUCUUAGAGUCAAUUCAUCUCAGGUUUGAUCAAAUUUAUAUAAUAAAACACUAAUAUUUAUGAUACCAACUAUGUCAUUAGAUUCUUUAUUUAACUACAUUUUAUAGUAUAUCUAUUUGAUGUUAUCGAUCUUUGUAAUUUCCUCUACAAGUUUGGUCUAAAUUGAGAUGUUUUGGCUCACUAGUAAAGUUGUAAUCACUUGCAAUUUCAAAUGAGGGGAGUAUCUUGCAUUAGUGCACUGGUUCGGUAGAAAACUAGAUAGCCAUAUCUGUUUUUAUUCAUUUAUAUUUAUAUAUAACUAUAAGAAUAGAUAGGAAUAUACAUUGUGAGACCUGUUAUCGAAGUGAGCAUUGUCUUUCCGGGCCACACUUUGUAGUGGCUAGCUACGUCUGUUCUUGUAGCAUCUUAAAUGUUACUUAACACAAUUGCUAAUGGCCAGGGUCUGUUCCUUAUUUCUAAUUCGCUGUAAUAGUUACCGGUUUUAGAUUCCAGCGUAUGCAUAUGGAUGCAUUUGACAUUCGAUACCCACGUCUCCCGCUGCUAGCGGUGGUAAUAGAUCAUAAUCUAAAUAUAAUCUAAAUAUUUCCUUACAAAUUGCUAGGGCUUUAAAUUAUUUUUAGUUCAAACAUGAAUAUAAAUAGGACAUGAUGCAACUUGAUCUGAUCCUUAUAUUUUAUAGUGUAAAAUUUAGAGUCCAUUGUCACCUCUAGCUGUGCCCCAAAUGUACUCGCAUUGACUAACUCCAUCAAACUCUCUGUCAUUCCAAUUUAACAGUAUCGUGUAUCCGUCUGCAUUUUGGCACGCAUCCACUUCUGCAUUUUGCAUGGAUAAGCAUUUUGCAUGGAUACGGAGUGGGAUGACGAGUCCGCAUCCACUUCUGCAUUUUGCAUGGAUAAGCAUUUUGCAUGGAUACGGAGUGGAUGACGAGUCCACUCCGCCUGAUCUCUAGUCAUAUUUCAAGUUUUUAUUAAAAAAUGUCUUAAUUCAAGUUAUAAAAUUCACUUUAAAUUAUAAGAUGUUUUGUCUUUUUAGAUAUAUAUAUCUUUUACUAUAUAUCUAAACAUAUAUUUGCCUCCUGAAAAAUUUAAAAGGCCAAAGUAUCUUAUUAUCUGGAACAAAGAGAGUACAUACUACAAUCAGACAACGAAAUCUCGCAGAUCCUAUAUUUUGUUCUCAAACGAAAUCUCGCAGAUCCUAUAUUUUGUUCUCAUGCAAAUCAUAAUUAUGGCUUUCUCCUCAAUUUGGUUUUAAAUUAACAAAAUCUCCAAAAAAACACAUGAAUAUUUAUGUUAACAUUUUGAUCGGAAUAUUAUUGUGUGGAAACAUUUUUUUAUCGAGAUACUAUCGAAUUCAUCGUGUAUAUUCAAACAAGCUGGGAUAGGACUCGUUUGGUUGUUUCCCCAGGCAGGAGAAAUGACGCCGAAUCGCCACCACCAUCCGCCUAGAACAAUCCAGGUAGAGUUUCCUCCGAAGACUCAGCAGAGCAACGAUGAUCGCCAAUGCCACCCCGCCAAGCUGCCACGCGUUGCCACCUUCUACCGACCACCGACACAACAACCCAAUAAGCCCCAAUCACUAGAGCUCCUACACCAGCUAACCAACUAGUGUGAAACCCCAAGAUGGCCGAGGCGAGGACGCCUACACGGAGGGCACGGGAUAUCCAUGUACGACACCCUCAAUAGGAUAGAAGUGGCGCUCUGUGGCGUCACCGGCGUCCGCCUCCAAGCGAGCAUGGAUUUCGCCGGAGGACCCACCACCAAUCAUCCCGACGCUCGGAUCCAAUCGGCCAGGGGCAACGCCGACAUCGUUUGAGCAUCCAACGUCGGGACCCACAAGGCCAAAGUCACAGCCAACAAGGCAAAACCAGCGGCAUGAGGCCAAGGGGCACGAAAGGCCUUGCUAUCACCCAUCGGUCGAACGGGAGGUCGAGAGAUGGAACUAACGAGGGAGGCUCAAGAUCCGGUCUCUAGCUGACCGGGGAGCACCAACGGAAGCCACAACGUCGGGAACUACCGAGGCCACUGUCCUCGGGAGGCUCGUCCUUCACUUCUGAGGAAACCCCCACCCUUCCAUCUCUAGAUCCAAUUUCCCUAACCCGUCGCUGGCAGCAGUAGAGCUGCCGUUGGCCAUGGCCCUCGCCUCCCCGCCCCUGCCGCCGCGCCACGAGCAUGCUGCGAGCCAGCCUCUCGAGUAGCCCAUGUGUGAACGAUGUAGGGGCCGAUCGAAUCGCCCCAACAUCGCCUUCACCGUGAGCCGCACGAGCACCCGUCGUCUAGUUCCAGUGGCAGCGAAGCAGAGAGGGGAGGGACAUGAGGUGACGACAGCUAGGGUUGGCGCCGUCCGAGUCACUCGAGCGGUGGCGACCGACUAUGCAGUGUUCUAAAAGCUUUAGUGCCACCUCCCCGGUGCACACCAAAAUACACGUGUGCAUUGUUUAUAACCGUGUAAUACCCACUUUGUAAGAAAAAAUUAAAAAGAGAAAUUAUAUUUCUUUAUAUAUAUGUGUGUUAUCUCUAUUUAUUAUUUCAUGUGGACACCUCACUUACACAAAUAAAUAAUUAACAAAAGACACUCAAAUAAAUCAUGCAUCAUGCUGAGGUUUCCAUUUUUGUGUGCAUCUUGGGACAAUAUCUAUACUACUCUAUUAAGACAAUAGCGUCAGCGUCCACAACCUGUGCCCCCGCCUGCCCCUGCCUCGCGUUUCCCUCUCCCCGCAGCCACUCCCCUCUCCCCGCAUCGACAGGUACUUGGCGCGCAGGAACUUGCCGAGCCCGCCCCACCGCGGGCUCCUCGCGUCCAGGAACGAGCUCGCCGGCUCCGCCUUCAGAUCCGUGAAGUUGAAGUCGCGGCGGUGGAGAGGUGAAGCUCGUCCAGGAAGCUGAAGUUGAAGUCGCGCCGGUGGAGAGGCGGAGCUCGUCGGGUUCAGGCCGGAGAGGUGGAGCUCGUCGAGCGACGCCAGGGUCCACCCCGGGUGGAGCCGCGCCUCCAGAGCACGCUCGACGGUCAGGGAGCUCCUGGCGCGCUCGGCCUCGACGUCCCUAGCCCGGAGGUCCGCCGCGACCUCCAGCGUCACCUCCCCCGCACCCGCAGGCUGCCGGACCGCUCCCCCUCCCGCCGCUCGCGUUCUCCAGCCAGACGUACAACGAGGCGGCGACGCUGCUCGCGUCCAUGUACCCCUCCGUCUUCCCCGUCGCCAGGGGCGGCGCCGCGCCGCGUCGCCUCCUCGGCCUCGCCUCCGCGCUCGCCGACAACUCGUCCUGCUCCGACCUCCUCCCGCCGACCUCCUCCUCACGUCGAUGGAGCGGACCGUGCGCGCGCUGGACCGCCAGAUCUCGCAGUUCGUGGCCAUGGACUGGCUGAUUUGGGCGGACUCCGCCGCCGCGGACGCGUUCCUGGAGGCGGUCGACGAUCUCAUUGGCACCGUGCAGGAGCUAGACGCUACGGGGACCAACCGCGCUCUACUCGACCGCGCCGACGAGCUGCUCAGCCGGUGCAUGGCGACAGCGUGUACGUGUUGCACCGGAAGAACCGCUGAGGCGGGGGAGGCGCCGGCGCCGGCGGGACCGCGCCCUCGCCGAGCAGCAGCGAGAGCGCGGCGGAGGGCAGCGUCGAGGUGCUGAGCAACGCGUCGCGGUUGGGCGAGCUGGAGACGAAGAAGGCGUCGUCUAGGGCCAGCGCGCCCGCGUGGAGCGAGCCUAGGGAGCCCGGCGCGGGCUGACCGCGCUCAGUGGCGGAGCACAACCCAAAAUCAAGGUAUGGCAGUGAACAAAACAUAUUGCACUAAAAGCUAAAAGAAAAGCUCAGUAAAAAAACACUAAGUACCUCAAUGCACUUUACCUCUAAUCCCUUGUUCCACUAAUCCUCACUUCCUCAAUGGUCAAUUACGUGCACUAUAUUGUGCUGUCUAUGCACAAGCUGAAACUGACAGCCUCACUGGUCACCAGCAGACCGGAAGGGGGCACACAGGGAGACACUGUGGCGGCAACUGACAAGGCACGAACAAGCUCCGGAGGCCGGCUGCAACGCACCGCCACGGACGAGCUCGGGGCAGACUGGGAACAGUGGAAGCUAGGAAGCCUGGGAACGACGGUAGGAGGUGGGAGCCUAGGAACAGUGGAAGCUAGGAACGGCGGCUAGCCGUAGAAGCCAAGAGAAGUCGGUGGGAAGCUAGGAACAGUGGAAGCUAGGAACGGCGGCUGUGAAAGCGUGCUGGCGAGUGGUAUGCGGGGUGGGUCCGCGGAUGGGCCUGGACGCUUGAAACUAGGGUUUACUGCUUCAGUGGGCUAGGCCGAGGUAUGGCGUAGGCCAUACUUCGCCAUAACGGACCCUCCGCUCCUGACCGCACUUGGCCAGUGCGCGCGCCGCGAGGCCCGCGGGCACGCGCAACAGGCCGAUCAGGAAGUCCACCGCGUCUUUGCGGGCCUCCGCGUACAGCACGCGCUGCGAACGCCUGUCCACCAGCAGCUUCAGCUGCGGGCCGCUAGCGGCCGGCGCCGGCUUCACGUCUGUAGCUGCCGUCAUGGACGCCAUUGCUGUGGCUGGUGCUGGCCUGGCCUGGUCUGCUUGAUGUUGAGAGUUGCAGAGCUUUCCUUGUACGUGGUCGGGGCAUGAAAUUAAUAAUGGUCAGAGCAAUGCCAAUGACAUUACCAAUAAAUCUAAAUUACCAGAUGUUUUCCUUAACUACGGUCUACAGUCCCUAUUUGUAGGUCUAUUCAUUUUUUUUCUUAUUUUGUUUUGCACGUUGUUUGAGUAGCAACAGGAUCGCAAGCUGUUUUUUUCAUACGUCAGGCUUUUGCUCGUGAUGAUGUUGAUGCUGAAUUUGAGAAAUCCAAAAUGGAUGUUUUAAGUGUGAAGAACCCUGAAUCUGAAAAGUUUGCUUUUGUUCGUUGCUGGGUCCAGUGGACAAACAUCCAACAGAAAAAAGGACUUCCCUCAUGGAUGGUAAAAGACCAUGAAGUUGCUAAAAGAAAUAGAGAGGAAGCCUUGAAGAGGAAGGACUCAAAGCUUAAGCACGUCAUCAUUUCUAAACAUGUAGAUAAGAAGUUAAAGUUGUAUUUGAUUCGUUACAUGCACAUGCUUUAUGUUUCUGUUAUUUAUGUAAAGUGCUAAUAAAAAUAUAUAAAUAACAAUUAGUGUUUUUAUAUCAAUAUAUUUUAUCAUAGUGCUUCUGCAUCUCAGUGUGCCUUAUCAUUAUAUGUUGACUCCGUAGCAACGCACGGGCAUACACCUAGUAAAAA